rnacentral:rRNA from 1 species
AGAGUUUGAUCCUGGCUCAGAACGAACGCUGGCGGCAGGCCUAACACAUGCAAGUCGAACGCUUCAGCAAUGAAGAGUGGCAGACGGGUGAGUAACGCGUGGGAACCUUCCCAGUGGUACGGAAUAGCCCAGGGAAACUUGGGGUAAUACCGUAUAAGCCCUUAGGGGGAAAGAUUUAUCGCCAUUGGAUGGGCCCGCGUCGGAUUAGCUUGUUGGUGAGGUAAAAGCUCACCAAGGCGACGAUCCGUAGCUGGUCUGAGAGGAUGAUCAGCCACACUGGGACUGAGACACGGCCCAGACUCCUACGGGAGGCAGCAGUGGGGAAUAUUGGACAAUGGGCGCAAGCCUGAUCCAGCCAUGCCGCGUGAGUGACGAAGGCCUUAGGGUUGUAAAGCUCUUUUGGCGGGGACGAUAAUGACGGUACCCGCAGAAUAAGCUCCGGCUAACUUCGUGCCAGCAGCCGCGGUAAUACGAAGGGAGCUAGCGUUGUUCGGAAUUACUGGGCGUAAAGCGCACGUAGGCGGAUUUGUUAGUCAGGGGUGAAAUCCCGGGGCCCAACCUCGGAACUGCCUUUGAUACUGCAAGUCUGGAGUCCGGAAGAGGUGGGUGGAAUUCCUAGUGUAGAGGUGAAAUUCGUAGAUAUUAGGAAGAACACCGGUGGCGAAGGCGGCCCACUGGUCCGGUACUGACGCUGAGGUG